GUAAGCCGUGUGCGGGAAAUCCGCACGCACGGUUUGAAAGGGGGUCUUGCUCUAACGCCCGCCCUCUGGCGGGAAGGAAAGUAGGAUCUACCAAUGCGUUCGACCUCAC
rnacentral:ncRNA from 1 species